rnacentral:rRNA from 1 species
AACGUAGGUGGCGAGCGUUAUCCGGAUUUACUGGGCGUAAAGGGCUCGUAGGCGGCCAACUAAGUCGGAUGUGAAAUCCCCAGGCUUAACCUGGGAAUUGCAUCCGAUACUGGAUGGCUUGAAUCCGGGAGAGGGAUGCGGAAUUCCAGGUGUAGCGGUGAAAUGCGUAGAUAUCUGGAGGAACACCGGUGGCGAAGGCGGCAUCCUGGACCGGCAUUGACGCUGAGGAGCGAAAGCUAGGGGAGCAAACGGG